AGUCUGCAGCCUUGAAAUUGCCCUUAGUUGCUUCUGUACUCUGGGUCUCCUGGCUUUGCAGAAAGAGUAUCUGUUUGAGGAAGCCGAGGCAGGAGUGUAAAAAGUAAUGGCAGCUCCAUGUGCAAUGUUCCUCUGACAUAUUAAUACUGUUGCCACGGAGAUAAUGAUUGGUUCAGUGUCAUUAUCCAUCUAUCAACAGUAAGAGUAAAUUUGCUGUGUGAUAUUGUUCAGCAAAGGAGGCAUUUCUGUUGAACACUAGCAACUGCUACAUAU
ensembl:scaRNA small Cajal body-specific RNA 13